UGGGGAAUAUUGCACAAUGGGCGAAAGCCUGAUGCAGCAACGCCGCGUGAGUGAUGAAGGUCUUCGGAUUGUAAAGCUCUGUCUUUUGGGACGAUAGUGACGGUACCAAAGGAGGAAGCCACGGCUAACUACGUGCCAGCAGCCGCGGUAAUACGUAGGUGGCGAGCGUUGUCCGGAUUUACUGGGCGUAAAGGGUGCGUAGGCGGAUGUUUAAGUGAGAUGUGAAAUACCCGGGCUUAACUUGGGUGCUGCAUUUCAAACUGGAUAUCUAGAGUGCAGGAGAGGAGAAUGGAAUUCCUAGUGUAGCGGUGAAAUGCGUAGAGAUUAGGAAGAACACCAGUGGCGAAGGCGAUUCUCUGGACUGUAACUGACGCUGAGGCACGAAAGCGUGGGUAGCAAACAGGAUUAGAUACCCUGGUAGUCCACGCCGUAAACGAUGAGUACUAGGUGUAGGAGGUAUCGACCCCUUCUGUGCCGCAGUAAACACAUU
rnacentral:rRNA from 1 species